rnacentral:rRNA from 1 species
CACGUAGUUAGCCGUGGCUUAUUCAAGGGGUACCGUCUUCUGCUCUUCCCCCUUAAAAGAAGUUUACAACCCGAAAGCCUUCUUCCUUCACGCGGCGUUGCUGGGUCAGACUUGCGUCCAUUGCCCAAUAUUCCCCACUGCCGCCUCCCGUAGGAGUCUGGGCCGUAUCUCAGUCCCAAUGUGGCCGGCCAACCUCUCAGUCCGGCUACUGAUCGUCGCCUUGGUGGGCCGUUACCUCACCAACUAGCUAAUCAGACGCGAGGCCAUCUUCCAGCGAUAAAUCUUUGACAUGUCUGUGAUGCCACAGUCAUGCGUCAUGCGGUAUUAGCAGUCGUUUCCAACUGUUGUCCCCCUCUGGAAGGCAGGUUCCUCACGCGUUACUCACCAGUCCGCCACUAAGCAACUCAAUCCAUUGUCCGAAAACUCUUUCAUGAGCGCUCCGUUCGACUUGCAUGUGUUAAGCACGCCGCCAGCGUUCGUCCUGAGCCAGGAUCAAACU